UACCUGGUUGAUUCUGCCAGUAGUCAUAUGCUUGUCUCAAAGAUUAAGCCAUGCAUGUCUAAGUAUAAGCAAUCUAUACAGUGAAACUGCGAAUGGCUCAUUAAAUCGGUCAAAAUUUAUUUGAUAGUACCUUUUUACCUGGAUAACUGUGGUAAUUCUAGAGCUAAUACAUGCUAAAAAUCUCGACUUCGGAAGAGAUGUAUUUAUUAGAUUAAAAACCAAUGCCCUUCGGGGCUUUAAGGUGAAUCAUAAUAACUCAACGAAUCGCAUGGCCUUGUGCCGGCGAUGGUUCAUUCAAUUUUCCGCCCUAUCAACUUUCGAUGGUAUUAUAGAGGAUUACCAUGGUUUCAACGGGUAACGGGGGAUUAGGGUUCGACUCCGGAGAGGGAGCCUGAGAAACCACAUCCAAGGAAGGCAGCAGGCGCGCAAAUUACCCAAUAGCAAUUCGCUGAGGUAGUGACAAUACAUACUGAUCGGGGGCUCUUUUGGGCCUCCGAAUCGGAAUGAGUACAAUUUAAACCCCUUAACGAGGAACAAUUGGAGGGCAAGUCUGGUGGCCAGCAGCCGCGGUAAUUCCAGCUCCAAUAGCGUAUAUUAAAGUUGUUGCAGUUAAAAAGCUCGUAGUUGAACCUUGGGCUUGGAUGACCGGUCCGCCUCACCGCGUGUACUGGUUCGUCCGAGCCUUUCCUUCUAGGGAACCUCAUGCCCUUCACUGGGUGUGUCUGGGGAACUAGGACUUUUACUUUGAGAAAAUUAGAGUGUUCAAAGCAGGCCUAUGCUCGAAUACUUCAGCAUGGAAUAAUAGAAUAGGACGUGCGUCCUCAUUUUGUUGGUUUCUGAGGAUGCCGUAAUGAUUAAUAGGGAUAGUCGGGGGUGUCAGUAUUCAAUUGUCAGAGGUGAAAUUCUUGGAUUUAUUGAAGACUAACUACUGCGAAAGCAUUCACCAAGGAUGUUUUCAUUAAUCAGUGAACGAAAGUUAGGGGAUCGAAGACGAUCAGAUACCGUCGUAGUCUUAACCAUAAACUAUGCCGACUGGAGAUUGGAUGGUGUUAUUCUAUUGACCCAUUCAGCAUCUUGUGAGAAAUCAAAGUGUGGUUCUGGGGGGAGUAUGGUCGCAAGGCUGAAACUUAAAGAAAUUGACGGAAAGGCACCACCAGGGAGCCUGCGGCUUAAUUUGACUCAACACGGGGAAACUCACCAGGUCCAGACAUGCGAAGGAUUGACAGAUUGAGAGCUCUUUCUUGAUUGUAUGGUUGGUAAUGCAUGGCCGUUCUUAGUUGGUGGAUUGAUUUGUCUGCUUAAUUGCGAUAACGAACGAGACCUUAACCUGCUAAAUAGCCAGGCAAGCUUUGGCUUGUCGCCGGCUUCUUAGAGGGACUAUCGGCUCAAGCCGAUGGAAGUUUGAGGCAAUAACAGGUCUGUGAUGCCCUUAGAUGUUCUGGGCCGCACGCGCGCUACACUGACAGAGCCAACGAGUUUAUAACCUUGGCAGAAAUGCCUGGGCAAUCUUGUUAAACUCUGUCGUGCUGGGGAUAGAGCAUUGCAAUUAUUGCUCUUCAACGAGGAAUGCCUUGUAAGCGCAAGUCAUCAGCUUGCGUUGACUACGUCCCUGCCCUUUGUACACACCGCCCGUCGCUACUACCGAUUGAAUGGCUCAGUGAGGCCUUCGGACUGGCUCAGAAAGGUUGGCAACAACCAUUCAGAGCCGGAAAGUUCGUCAAACUUGGUCAUUUAGAGGAAGUAAAAGUCGUAACAAGGUUUCCGUAGGUGAACCUGCGGAAGGAUCAUUA
rnacentral:rRNA from 1 species